rnacentral:rRNA from 1 species
UACGGAGGGUGCAAGCGUUAUCCGGAUUCACUGGGUUUAAAGGGUGCGUAGGUGGGCAAGUAAGUCAGUGGUGAAAUCUCCGGGCUUAACCCGGAAACUGCCAUUGAUACUAUUUGUCUUGAAUACUGUGGAGGUCAGCGGAAUAUGUCAUGUAGCGGUGAAAUGCUUAGACAUGACAUAGAACACCAAUUGCGAAGGCAGCUGGCUACACAAAUAUUGACACUGAGGCACGAAAGCGUGGGGAUCAAACAGG